rnacentral:snoRNA from 1 species
UCUGAAAGAAACCCAGGAACAUCAGUAGGUAGCAGAGAGGGAAAAGGCUAUGUCUAACUCAAGGUUCUGACCUAUGAACUUCUAAGUGACUAGUAGCCAAACUUU